rnacentral:rRNA from 1 species
AGUCGCCGCGGUAAUACAGAGGGUGCGAGCGUUAAUCGGAUUUACUGGGCGUAAAGCGUGCGUAGGCGGCUUCUUAAGUCGGAUGUGAAAUCCCUGAGCUUAACUUAGGAAUUGCAUUCGAUACUGGGAAGCUAGAGUAUGGGAGAGGAUGGUAGAAUUCCAGGUGUAGCGGUGAAAUGCGUAGAGAUCUGGAGGAAUACCGAUGGCGAAGGCAGCCAUCUGGCCUAAUACUGACGCUGAGGUACGAAAGCAUGGGGAGCAAACAGGAUUAGAUCCCCAGUAGUCCCUGUCUCUUAUACAC